AGAGUUAAUCAUGACGAUGUUCCCGAAGAAGAUGACAUGACUGUGCUGGAAUAAAUGUAGAUAUCAGUAGAUGAAAAAAAAAUAUCCCCUGAAAAUAAUAACACCUUUUUUUUCUGAUGUCUUAUUUUGGGGAAAAUACGGUACUGUUUUCAAUGAGGUCAGUAGUGUUUACAGAGCUCUACACAUAUUUAUAGGGAUGUGAGAUUGUUAUGUAACAGUGAAGUUAGCGUAAAAACCUUAACUAAGUCAAAGCUUUGUGUCUCUCUAUGAUGCAGGUAAUGAUAAUAGAUGCUCCAAUAAUAAAGCGGCUUCUGGAAUAAUACUUCUAUCUUUUAACGUUGCAUGUUUGGUGUGCGCAAGUUAUCCUUUUCACCCACUACGCUAGAAUGAGCCAUGCCACUGAGCAAUGUAGGUCAUGUGCAGGAAUGUGAUUGCAAAACUACGGCUAAGUAAAUCAAGUAUUGAAAGAUAGUAGAAUCACACUCACCUAUAGGAGCAUGCACUGCGAUCCUGAAAUAAAAACUAGGUCAAUGGGGAGUAAAUGCAGAAGGAACAGAAAGAUAGAACGACAUGUAUAGUGUACA